rnacentral:rRNA from 1 species
CCUACGGGUGGCUGCAGUGGGGAAUAUUGGACAAUGGGCGAAAGCCUGAUCCAGCCAUGCCGCGUGUGUGAAGAAGGUCUUCGGAUUGUAAAGCACUUUAAGUUGGGAGGAAGGGCAUUUACCUAAUACGUAAGUGUUUUGACGUUACCGACAGAAUAAGCACCGGCUAACUCUGUGCCAGCAGCCGCGGUAAUACAGAGGGUGCAAGCGUUAAUCGGAAUUACUGGGCGUAAAGCGCGCGUAGGUGGUUUGUUAAGUUGGAUGUGAAAUCCCCGGGCUCAACCUGGGAACUGCAUUCAAAACUGACUGACUAGAGUAUGGUAGAGGGUGGUGGAAUUUCCUGUGUAGCGGUGAAAUGCGUAGAUAUAGGAAGGAACACCAGUGGCGAAGGCGACCACCUGGACUGAUACUGACACUGAGGUGCGAAAGCGUGGGGAGCAAACAGGAUUAGAUACCCCUGUAGU